GCGGAGUGAGCCGGCAGCGCGCACGGCCUGGGGGGGUUCCCGCCAGAACCCAAAACCAUAGACUAGGUCGCAGGACUCCGAAGUCCGCGUCCGCCCGCGCCCUCACGUCAGCAGACCGCAAAAGGCUGAGGAAGGAAGGGUUCGAGCGCCAGGCCUUGGUCUCUCCUAAGUGGAUUAUGGUGGGCAUGCGCCCGGACUAUUCGUCUCAUGCACCCUUUCCUCUUCCUCUCCCCUGAGGGGAGGCAGGUUGGUGGGCGGGCAGAAGCGCACCUGGGUCCGUCCUCUCGGGGUUUGCUCGCUCCCGCACGCGUGCGCAGAAGGGCAGGAGGGCGAGGAAGGCGCGCCGAGACCAGGUGCCGCCCGGCCUGACAACCCCCCCGCUCUCGGUCUCUAUGGGCGCGCGCGGGCAGCCUCGCUCACCGGCCCCAGGGCACCGGCUGGAGGUGCGCGCGCAGCACCCCGGGAAGGUGGGACGAGGCGCUCGGGGAUGCGCGCGCAGUCACCCGUCAGGGGAGGGGGAACUGCGGAGCCUCCGCCAUCUUGUCUCCCUCUCCUUACCUGCGUCCUCGGGGGCGUGCUCACCACCCCCCCUCCCGCCGAGGAGGGGGGAGGGCCCCCUCUCGGUCGCCGCCUUCACCGCUUUAAAUUCCCCUAAGGGCCGCAGCUAGAGCCACCCCCGUGCUCCCGCCGCGUCUAGUCACGCCGCGGAGGUGCGAGCAGUAAGUUGGAGAAAACGGAGACGCUACUCCCAGCGACCCCGCCGCCGCCGCCGCUGCUCCCGAGGCCUCACCAAAAUGGCCGCCGCCUUCUCGGCCGCCACCGCCACUACCACCACCACCACCACCAAGGCUCGUUAUCGCUACCGCCGGAGCGGCCCGUCUUCUCGCGAUACACAGUAACUGGAGGCUGGAGGGGCGGGUCUCACAAUUUAGCAGUGGUUGACCUGGACUCGCUAUUGUAGAUCCAGCUAACCUUAAACUCAACAGAGAUGCACCUGCCAUCCGCCUAGGAUUAACGGUUUUCUACAUUAACUCUUUUGAAAGGCUGAGAAGAUAGCUCAGCAACUAAGAAUAUUGGCUGCUGCUUCUUACAGAGGACCAAGGUUCAAUUUCCAGCACUCCUAUUCCAGAAGCUCAUAAUCAUCUGUAACUCCAGUUCCAGGGAAUCGGACACCCUCUUCUGGCCUCAGAGGGCACUGCACAAACAUGGUGCACAGACAUACAUGCAGGUAAAACGCCCAUACACAUCAAAUAAAAAUCCUUAA